GACGAACGCUGGCGGCGUGCUUAACACAUGCAAGUCGAACGGAAAGGCCCUGCUUUUGUGGGGUGCUCGAGUGGCGAACGGGUGAGUAACACGUGAGUAACCUGCCCUUGACUUUGGGAUAACUUCAGGAAACUGGGGCUAAUACCGGAUAGGAGCUCCUGCUGCAUGGUGGGGGUUGGAAAGUUUCGGCGGUUGGGGAUGGACUCGCGGCUUAUCAGCUUGUUGGUGGGGUAGUGGCUUACCAAGGCUUUGACGGGUAGCCGGCCUGAGAGGGUGACCGGCCACAUUGGGACUGAGGUACGGCCCAGACUCCUACGGGAAGCAGCAGUGGAGAAUAUUGCACAAUGGGCGGAAGCCUGAUGCAGCAACGCCGCGUGCGGGAUGACGGCCUUCGGGUUGUAAACCGCUUUCGCCUGUGACGAAGCGUGAGUGACGGUAAUGGGUAAAGAAGCACCGGCUAACUACGUG
rnacentral:rRNA from 1 species